ACAUCACCUACCACUACUACCAGGUAACUAGACACAUCACUACCCACUACAACAGGUAACUAGACACAUCACCUACUACCAGGUAACUAGACACAUCACCUACCACUACUACCAGGUAACUAGACACAUCACCUACCACUACUACCAGGUAACUAGACACAUCACCUACUAC